rnacentral:rRNA from 1 species
UGGGGAAUUUUGGACAAUGGGCGCAAGCCUGACCCAGCAAUACCGCGUGUGUGAAGAAGGCCUGAGGGUUGUAAAGCACUUUCAAUGGGGAGGAAAAAGGCAAGUUUAAUACGCUUGCCCUUGACAUUACCCAUACAAGAAGCACCGGCUAACUCCGUGCCAGCAGCCGCGGUAAUACGGAGGGUGCGAGCGUUAAUCGGAAUUACUGGGCGUAAAGCGUGCGUAGGCGGCCUGCCAAGUCAGAUGUGAAAGCCCAGGGCUCAGCUCUGGAAGUGCACUAGAUACUGGGAAGCUUGAGUAUCGGAGGGGAGAGUGGAAUUCCUGGUGUAGCGGUGAAAUGCGUAGAUAUCAGGAGGAAUACCGGUGGCGAAAGCGACUCUCUGGACGAUUACUGACGCUGAGGCACGAAAGCGUGGGGAGCAAACAGGAUUAGAUACCCACGUAGUCCCUGAGCGGGCUGGCAAGGCGCAU